rnacentral:sRNA from 1 species
AUAUUUCGGUAGGUGAGGUUACCACAGGGAUUGGGAUAUUCCCGAAGACUGCUGCCGCAAGAUUGUGGAGACACAAUGCGCUGGUCAGCAGGAAGCGUCGUGAAGGCGCAUCCUAAUGCAGUUGAUAUGCCCUGUGAUACUAAAGCUUGGACGAUG